AACGAACGCUGGCGGCAUGCCUAACACAUGCAAGUCGAACGAGACCUUCGGGUCUAGUGGCGCACGGGUGCGUAACGCGUGGGAACCUGCCCUUAGGUUCGGAAUAACUCCCCGAAAGGGGUGCUAAUACCGGAUAAUGUCUUCGGACCAAAGAUUUAUCGCCUUUGGAUGGGCCCGCGUUGGAUUAGCUAGUUGGUAGGGUAAAAGCCUACCAAGGCGACGAUCCAUAGCUGGUCUGAGAGGAUGAUCAGCCACACUGGGACUGAGACACGGCCCAGACUCCUACGGGAGGCAGCAGUGGGGAAUAUUGGAAAAUGGGCGAGAGCGUGAUCCAGCAAUGCCGCGUGAGUGAUGAAGGCCUUAGGGUUGUAAAGCACUUUUACCCGGGAUGAUAAUGACAGUACCGGGAGAAUAAGCACCGGCUAACUCCGUG
rnacentral:rRNA from 1 species